rnacentral:lncRNA from 1 species
UUUAAAAAUAUGCAAAUCACUUCCUUCUAUUAGAAGAAAAUAACUUAAUUAAAUAUUAACAUGUGUAGGCAAUGAAAUUAUGUAUGUUAAUCAACAUAGAUGUUACAUAAAUAACACAUGGUGUCCACAUGCACCCGUAUAAAAAAGACUACAUGUAUGCCCUAGAAACUAAAAUUCCAAACUUUAAUCUUACGACCGUCAAAACCAAUCCUCUAACAUCAUCCCUUGAUCAUCCACCUGUGGAUUUCUAGCCAAAAAACAUAGCUUCUAGUGGUCCCAUCUUUUUUGAAACCCUUCGUGCAACUAUCUUCUAAGAAAGUAUAUUGCACGACCCAUCAACAUCCAUAUGGCCCCAUAUAAAAAGGUUGCAUUCAUGCUCUUGAAACCAAAAUUCUCAUAUUUCAAUCUAACAACCACAAAUCAACAAAGUAUCUUAUGUGAGUGUCAUCCAUAGUCAACACUGAUCAACUCCAUCUUUAAGACUCUCAACAUUGAUGGUCUCACAACGUGUUCCUUCAGAUAAUCGGUUGCAAACUCUGUUGUCGAUGUGUCCUCAGUUGUACAGGACUGAGAAGUCCCAUACCGGAUGGGGUUGAUAAUUGAUUUAAUUAUGCUCAUAUCAGACGAGGUAUUAAGACAGUUUAUAAUUGUAGUGCCCAUUACGGGAUAAGGUAUGG